AAAGUAAAAGACUAAAAAAACCAAAAAGAAUAAAGAUAAAGAUGAUUCUAAGCAUCGGGGACAAAAAGGAGUUCCCUCUAUCACUCUUCUUGAGUACACGGUCACUUGUGAGGUUGAGAUUUAUUUUUCUAUCCUUCAAAAUAUCAAAUCCAUUACAUACCUUAAAUAUAGGAUAAACCUAACUUAUCACAAUAAUUUUGACUAUGUUAUUGGUGAUCAUUGUCUUCUGAGUAAACGAGUUUUUCUCGGUGCUAGUAAAGGCCAACCCGACUUUACUUAUGUGUGUGAAGAUAUGUUCAAGGAUUUGGACAUAUCUUUACUUUUUAUUUAUUUUGAGUGUGAGGUUUUAACCAAGAUGAAUGUUACUCCUACUCUACUCCAUCCAAAUAGUUGGACCUUUACAAAGGCAUUUUUAACUCUUUGCUAUUAUUUUAAUAUCACUUCCAUUGUCAACAAAUUUUUGUACUUUUAUUGGGUUUAGGCAAGUCAGGGAAGGUUGGGUGGGUUUCCAUGACAGGUGCACAUGGGUCUUUGUUCACCUUGUUCAACUCCUCUAAGAAGAAAUUCAAGACUCGUUUUCAUAAGAUUAAAUUGAACCCAAUUUAUCCCGACCGCACAAGUCUUUUCAAUAAAUUUGAUGGAGAAACUAGGAGAUUUCCCUUUUAUUGGCAAGAAUUCUGUAAAGGUUUAAAUCUUAGGAAAGGCUAUUACUAUCUCCCAAGGAUAGGUGAGAUAUUAACAUAAUUAUGGAGUUUCCAAGGAGAAUGAAUAUCAAGGUAGUCCUUAACUUGCCUUAUAGUGGCGAUGUUGAAAAAGCUUUAGAGGGUAAGCUUUUAUUAAGUUUUGAAUAUUGGUGUAGAUUAGAGUUGUUACUAACUUAUUUUUUUUAAAAAAAUCUUUUUGCAAUGCACAGGAAUCAUGAAAGGUUUCAAUUUCAAGAUGAUUCAGGCUUCUGGAAUCUUAGAAUCCCAACAUACCACCAACACUUGUUGACCUAGUGAAGCCUAAGAAGAGGAAGACAAUUGCUAUUGAGGUCGAUCAACCAAGUGACAAAAUCAAACAACAGUCUAAAACUGCCAAGGUCGUAGUGAUGGAUAAGUGAUGUUCUCUAGAAAAAGAGAAAGGUAGAAAACAACAAGAGGUUUGCAAGAAGAAGACUUUGAAUGUGGAAGAGCCUACUACUAAAGGUAGGAAUGUUGAUGUGAUCCACCCACAAAACAAUGAGGAGCCGAUCACUAAUGUUGAUGUUAGUAACAAGCACAUGGAGAAGUCAACUACUACAACUCCACCUAAUCCAUAAGGUAGUGAGUUUUUAAUCAUGUUACUUUUGCAUACAUUUACUUUUAUACCUUGCAUGUUUGUUUUUGAAAGUAGAAUCAUGUCCUUAGGUGAAAAAAAUGUUCCUCAAAAUACUUCGUCUGAAAAGCGAAGUGGAGGUAUGUGAUCCAACAUCAUCAAGGCCCUCUACAUAUGGUUGAUCAUGUAACUGUAACUCAUGAUCUUCCUUCGUUAUGGGAUGUCAACAUCAAGGGAUCUGAGUUCAUCAUCACUGAUAGACUACUUACAAAGAUUGACUCUGAGAUGAUGGACUUCAUUGGAGCCGACAACAACUUGGAUUCUAUAUAAGUCUUUCUUUACAGAUCUGUUGUUGCCAUCUAUCAUUGGAGGAACAAAUAUGUUGACAUGGAAACAAAGUUCAUGGCUAGUUUGGAGGAUAAGAGGAAAUUGGUCAAAGCCCUCAAUGAGAAAAACUCAUUUAUGAUUAGAAAGAUUGAGAUCAUUAAGGGUCUUCAAAAUAAAAUUAUUGACCAUGAGAAGAUGGUUUCCAUGAAGGUUGUAGAAAACGAAAAGCUUGUUAAGGAAAUUAAAAGUAUGAACAUGAAUUUCUAUUUUGCAGUUAAGGACUUAGCAGAAACCAAGAACAUUGUCAAGGCCUUAAAUGAUUAACUAACUGCUUAGGAAGAAAAGAAGAAAGCUUUGGAGUUAGAGAGAGAAUAAUAUGCUAAAAGAGAGAGAUUUGGUCGAUCAAUAGACUUCCAAACUACAAACACAACUUGUUGAUCAAAAGAAAGAAACAAAAAAGAUUAGUGUUGAGCAUGUGUUGCAGCUGCAACAAGCAUUCAUGAUAGGUCAUGAAGAUGGCUUCAAAAACGCUCUCCGCCAACUUGGUUUAUUCACCUCUAAUAUAAAUUUAGAGAAAUUCAAUGUAUUGAAAGAUGUAAAGGAUGAGGAGUUAGUGAGAGAGUCUCAAAUGGAAAGUUCUGAGGAGGCUUCUAAUAAUGAGAUGAUUUCUAAAGCAGAUGAUGUUGAGGCGACCUCAAACUUUGUUCUACCUUUAAAUCCUCUAAUGACUUAGUUUUUAUAAGAUAAUCAGGGCUUUCGGUUUUAUGUUGUAAUGAGAUGUUUUAUAUUUCAAAUUAUCUUGUACCAAGAUAUUAGAGUAUGAAAUAUAUUGUAUUAAGUUUAAUGUUUAAUGAGAUCAGUGUUUGACAAAGUUUUUACGUGCUUAAGUUAUGUUUAACUUAAGUGUUAACAAUAAAGUAAUAGAGAGUAAACCCAAUCUUUCUAAAGCAUUUAAGCAAUAACAAAAAAAAGUAUAAAUAUAAGCUGUUAACUCGUUGGCAAGUGUACCAAAUCGUCACAAGUAGUAAAAUUCUCGGAAGUCCGAGUGUCGAAUCCACAUGGACUUUAUUUGUACUUAGAUUAAUACAAACCCAAUUUAAAAGCAAGAGAUAAGAAUUUAAAAUAAAAGAUAAAGAUAAUAGAUAAGAUAAGGUAAAGAAAAGAUAAGAUAUUUAAAGAUAAAAUUAGAAGAUAAAAGAAAAGAUAAGAUAUUUAAAGAUAAAAUUCGAAGAUAAAAGAAAAAGAUAAAAGAUUGAAAGAUCAAAAUAGAAGAUAAAAU
rnacentral:lncRNA from 1 species